rnacentral:rRNA from 1 species
CGGGGUGGAGUAAUGCUUGGGAAUCUAGCUUAUGAGGGGGAGUAACUACGGGAAACUGUAGCUAAUACCGCGUAGAAUCGAGAGAUGAAAGUGUGGGACCUUCGGGCCACAUGCCAUAGGAUGAGCCCAAGUGGGAUUAGGUAGUUGGUGAGGUAAAGGCUCACCAAGCCGACGAUCUCUAGCUGGUCUGAGAGGAUGACCAGCCACACUGGGACCGAGACACGGCCCAG